GGGUUGUGAGGUUAAGCGACUAAGCGUACACGGUGGAUGCCCUGGCAGUCAGAGGCGAUGAAGGACGUGCUAAUCUGCGAUAAGCGUCGGUAAGGUGAUAUGAACCGUUAUAACCGGCGAUUUCCGAAUGGGGAAACCCAGUGUGUUUCGACACACUAUCAUUACGUGAAUACAUAGCGUAAUGAAGCGAACCGGGGGAACUGAAACAUCUAAGUACCCCGAGGAAAAGAAAUCAACCGAGAUUCCCCCAGUAGCGGCGAGCGAACGGGGAGGAGCCCAGAGCCUGAAUCAGCAUGUGUGUUAGUGGAAGCGUCUGGAAAGGCGCGCGAUACAGGGUGACAGCCCCGUACACAAAAGCGCAUGUGUUGUGAGCUCGAUGAGUAGGGCGGGACACGUGGUAUCCUGUCUGAAUAUGGGGGGACCAUCCUCCAAGGCUAAAUACUCCUGACUGACCGAUAGUGAACCAGUACCGUGAGGGAAAGGCGAAAAGAACCCCGGCGAGGGGAGUGAAAAAGAACCUGAAACCGUGUACGUACAAGCAGUGGGAGCCCCACCACCAAAGCAUUCUCUGGUGUUGAAGGCCCUGCAAAGCAGAAUCGCGGUGGCGGAGCGUCGUUUGCGACGCCCAACACACAAAACAAGCGGUGAGUGCUUUGGGGUGGGGUGACUGCGUACCUUUUGUAUAAUGGGUCAGCGACUUAUAUUCUGUAGCAAGGUUAACCGCAUAGGGGAGCCG
rnacentral:rRNA from 2 species